rnacentral:lncRNA from 1 species
ACUACAAUUACACUUUUCAUACCCAACAGGACUUGAGAUUUAUACCUGGAGUACAAUGUUCCUGGCAUGUGUGAAAAGUUCACGGACACAUUCUAAUCAUUGCUUCAUAUCCUCCUAGGUUACCCCUGCCCAGCCACAGUCUUGGUGAGCAGUUCUGAGUGAGCUUUCAACUUUAUGCUGCCAAGUUCUUGUCUCAAGCUUAAGCUGCACAUCUUUUGCCUUCUGCCCUGCGGCUUCUCUGAAGUCACAGUGUGGACACCCAGGGAGACACUUUGCAUUCCCAUGCCAACAGAAGAAUUAAUACCAAAGGUUUCAUCUAAAAUAUCAUUGACAGUCCAGCAGUUAAGAAAGCACACUUCUGAGUCAGAAAACCCUUGAUUCAAGUCUCAAUCUGCAAUUUACUAACAAGGAGCUCCUAGAUCCAUUAACUAGUAGGAGUAUACAUCAAUAUUUAACUUGUAAGGCUGGGAUAAUAACAAUGUAUAGCACAAAGUGUUAAGAUUAAAUG